AGAGUUUGAUCCUGGCUCAGAUUGAACGCUGGCGGCAUGCCUUACACAUGCAAGUCGAACGGCAGCACGGGAGCAAUCCUGGUGGCGAGUGGCGAACGGGUGAGUAAUAUAUCGGAACGUACCUUUCAGUGGGGGAUAACGUAGCGAAAGUUACGCUAAUACCGCAUAUUCUGUGAGCAGGAAAGCAGGGGAUCGCAAGACCUUGCGCUGAUUGAGCGGCCGAUAUCAGAUUAGCUAGUUGGUGAGGUAAAGGCUCACCAAGGCGACGAUCUGUAGCGGGUCUGAGAGGAUGAUCCGCCACACUGGAACUGAGACACGGUCCAGACUCCUACGGGAGGCAGCAGUGGGGAAUUUUGGACAAUGGGGGCAACCCUGAUCCAGCCAUGCCGCGUGAGUGAAGAAGGCCUUCGGGUUGUAAAGCUCUUUCGGCCGGGAAGAAAUCGUGUGGGCUAAUACCUCACAUGGAUGACGGUACCGGAAUAAUAAGCACCGGCUAACUACGUGCCAGCAGCCGCGGUAAUACGUAGGGUGCGAGCGUUAAUCGGAAUUACUGGGCGUAAAGCGUGCGCAGGCGGUUUUGUAAGACAGGCGUGAAAUCCCCGGGCUCAACCUGGGAACUGCGUUUGUGACUGCAAGGCUAGAGUAUGGCAGAGGGGGGUGGAAUUCCACGUGUAGCAGUGAAAUGCGUAGAGAUGUGGAGGAACACCGAUGGCGAAGGCAGCCCCCUGGGCCAAUACUGACGCUCAUGCACGAAAGCGUGGGUAGCAAACAGGAUUAGAUACCCUGGUAGUCCACGCCCUAAACGAUGUCAACUAGGUGUUGGGUGGGUAAAACCAUUUAGUACCGGAGCUAACGCGUGAAGUUGACCGCCUGGGGAGUACGGCCGCAAGGUUAAAACUCAAAUGAAUUGACGG
rnacentral:rRNA from 1 species